rnacentral:rRNA from 1 species
UACGAAGGGGGCUAGCGUUGCUCGGAAUCACUGGGCGUAAAGGGUGCGUAGGCGGGUCUUUAAGUCAGGGGUGAAAUCCUGGAGCUCAACUCCAGAACUGCCUUUGAUACUGAGGAUCUUGAGUUCGGGAGAGGUGAGUGGAACUGCGAGUGUAGAGGUGAAAUGCGUAGAUAUUCGCAAGAACACCAGUGGCGAAGGCGGCUCACUGGCCCGAUACCUGACG